UAGAUUCUGAUUGGAUGAUUAGAGUAAACAAUGGAUUGAGAACUCAUUGUCCCUCAGGUAAUGAAGUAGAACUCUCUUCUGCAGCAAUUUGAGCGCGAUCUUUUCCUUUCAAAUCAGGAUUUGAAUACCAAAUUUUGAGAGCAAUUUUUUCAUUUGAAAUCAGAGUUCAAAAUGACAUCCUCAAGCGCCUCUACCACACCGAAGAUGCUCCUCAAGAUAUGAUGGAGAUGAGGGCAGAAAUCGUGGCGAUGCUGAAGUCGCUAUCGCUGCACCCCUGGCGGCAUUCCUUCAUACCCCGUUGGAUGUGCAGGAGUUGAAGGCUAACAAGGAAGAAUUGUGAGUAGAAAAGUUAAAGGACAAAGGAAGACUGGAAAUGGAAGACUGGAAAAGGCAUUAGUUGAAGAAGAGGGCAAAGGGAAAGGUCUGCGAGUUUGACGGUGUUGUAGUUGGUUGGUAUGCAUGUUGAGGGUUGUGGAUCUCCUGGUAAUGUGAAGGCCGAUGAGGUUUUCGAAGACAUCGUUGCUGUUGUUGCUUGAGCUUUGAGAAGUUCUUCAUCGCUUAAGGUCUCUAAAGAUGAUAUGAUGAGGAGGCAAUAUUCUUUGAUGAAUCUAUUUUAGAAAUGUAAAACGAAAGCAAUUGAAGUCGAAGGCAUUGGAUUUUAUACUCACCAAAUAAAGGAAUGCAAGGAAAAUUUUAUAAAUGAAGUUCAUCAGAAUUUGAAGAUAAUAUACAUGUAUGAGGUUUCAUGAUUUCUCAACCAAUCCUAAUUUGAUUUUAUUUGAUUUGCUGUGCCUCAACUUUGUUAUGAACAUACCUAUUAAGAGAGUCACAUUGCUAUUAUCAUUAUCUCCCCUUUGGCAAAGGAUGAUGCGGAGUUGGGGUGAGGUUCAAACAGCAACCGUGCCAACUUUCUAUUUGUAGUUUUUGAAGGCGAAGUGCUUGAUGAAUGGCGAAGUUUCAUUGAUUCUUGAGCACGAGUAUGAGCAGCUUCAACAAACUUAUGAUGAUCCCAUGAAUCAAGUUUCUCAGUGAGUGAAAACCUUUAUCUUGCUAAUGUGUGGGUUCAGUUGAGUAUAAUGUUUGGGAGACAGAUCUCAAGCAUUUGAAAAUUAAAACUCAAAAUGCAUUUGGGUCAUAUGGUAUAUUUAUGGAUUUUCUUUUUCUUUUUAUAGUUCAGGUAUAGAUAUUCUUACUAUGUGUUGCUAUGGUUUCAAUUUUCAUCUAAUCAACUCUUCUAUUAAACGAGAUUUGAAGGUAUUUAUUGUAACCAGAAACUAGCCAUUAAAUUCUCAAGCGUGAGCAUGUAAAUUCAGAUUUGCAAAGAGUUCUACAUCAUGAGGGUUGUGUGGGAACUUAAUGAUGAUCUAGAAAAGACUUCAAUUUUGUUUGAGCAAGCAAUUCAGGCUACCUUCGGGAUAGGGCUAAAGAAGCAAAAAGAUUUUGAAACAAAGAAUGAAAAAUUGAUGAGCAGAAGCUUUGGUACCCUCACCACACUGUUUUUUCUUUUGUUAAAAAGCUAUCUUAAUUUCUUAUAUACAUUUUUUUGUUAGGCUUUGGCUGUAAAAUUAUGGCACACAAGUUUGAUUUGUUGGGUAUUACUAAAAAGUAUCAUAGCUCAAAAGUUGAGAAGCAGUAGGGAUCAAACAAGCUCAUAUUCAAUUACUAUUGUCAAGGAGUUAGGAAAAAUCAUUGUUUUUAACUUGUGUUGCUCAUGUGAUGGCACAGAUAGUCUUCCUAUAAUGUUUCCCAUCAAGAACAUUUUGAUGGACUAGCAGAGAGGAUGAGAGAAUUUUUUUUGAAGAUUCUAAAGAUGCUACCAGUUUAUAAAAGCUACAGAAGAAAAAAGUAGCACAAUUAUUGAUUCAAAGAACUAAAAGAAAAUAUUUGUUUCACUAGAUAUAAGGCAUUGACAACUGAAGUAGUCGAUGAUUUAUAUGAUUUAUGCUUUAAGGCACUACACUUUAUUCUUUUUUUGUUUUCUUUUGUGUGUGUGUAAGGAUAUUAGCAUUUGCUUGAAUGUUGAUUUGUGUUAUUUUAAUAGAUUAGGCAAUUAUAUAUGCUUAAGUAGAACAAAUGUUGAUUAUGUUGUAUCAGUUAGUUGAUUAUGUUGUAUCAGUUACUGUAUUAAGUAAUUAUACAUCUCAA